ACCAAACCAAACCAAACCAAAAUACUCGUGAAGGGCAAUUAAUUUAAAAAUAAUUGACAUUCAUGUCAAGUUUAAAAAGGAUCAAUUUGUUUUCUUGGACACAUUCUGGUAUGUAAUAGGUGUUGGAAGUGUGUUAAAAUUAGUUUGGCUGACUUUAAGUUGGGCAUUGCAUAGGAUCUUGAAACUAGUUUUUGUGCUUUAAAUAAAUAUGUUUUCAGCUAUGUAAUGGCCAUGUUAUUUUUUUAAGCAUGAAUGAG
rnacentral:misc_RNA from 1 species